rnacentral:rRNA from 1 species
AACGAACGCUGGCGGCGCGCCUAAUACAUGCAAGUCGAGCGAGAAGGUGUAGCAAUGCACUUGUAAAGCGGCGAACGGGUGAGGAAUGCAUGGGUAACCUACCCUCGAGUGGGGAAUAACUAGCCGAAAGGUUAGCUAAUACCGCAUACGUUUCCGGAACUUCGGUUUCGGAAAGAAAGCAAUACCGUGGGUAUUGCGCUCCUGGAUGGGCUCAUGUCCUAUCAGCUUGUUGGUGAGGUAACGGCUCACCAAGGCUUCGACGGGUAGCUGGUCUGAGAGGACGAUCAGCCACACUGGCACUGCGACACGGG